CGGAGUGUAGCGCAGUCUGGCUAGCGCACCUGGUUUGGGACCAGGGGGUCGUAGGUUCGAAUCCUAUCACUCCGA
rnacentral:tRNA from 1 species